rfam:Wallemia ichthyophaga EXF-994 unplaced genomic scaffold scaffold4, whole genome shotgun sequence.
GCGUGGUUGGUCUAAUGGUUAUGAUUCUCGCCUUCCAUUAGUGAUAGCGAGAGGCUAUGGGUUCGAUUCCCAUACCUCGCA